rnacentral:rRNA from 1 species
CGAGCGGAUUGAUGGGAGCUUGCUCCCAUCAAUCAGCGGCGGACGGGUGAGUAACACGUGGGUAACCUGCCUGUAAGACUGGGAUAACUCCGGGAAACCGGGGCUAAUACCGGAUAACUCAUUUCCUCGCAUGAGGAAAUGUUGAAAGAUGGCUUCUUGCUAUCACUUACAGAUGGACCCGCGGCGCAUUAGCUAGUUGGUGAGGUAACGGCUCACCAAGGCAACGAUGCGUAGCCGACCUGAGAGGGUGAUCGGCCACACUGGGACUGAGACACGGCCCAGACUCCUACGGGAGGCAGCAGUAGGGAAUCUUCCGCAAUGGACGAAAGUCUGACGGAGCAACGCCGCGUGAGUGAUGAAGGUUUUCGGAUCGUAAAACUCUGUUGUUAGGGAAGAACAAGUACCGUUCGAAUAGGGCGGUACCUUGACGGUACCUAACCAGAAAGCCACGGCUAACUACGUGCCAGCAGCCGCGGUAAUACGUAGGUGGCAAGCGUUGUCCGGAAUUAUUGGGCGUAAAGCGCGCGCAGGUGGUUUCUUAAGUCUGAUGUGAAAGCCCACGGCUCAACCGUGGAGGGUCAUUGGAAACUGGGGAACUUGAGUGCAGAAGAGGAAAGUGGAAUUCCAAGUGUAGCGGUGAAAUGCGUAGAUAUUUGGAGGAACACCAGUGGCGAAGGCGACUUUCUGGUCUGUA